UUUCUCCAUUAGGACUGAGCCCCUGAUGCCCAUAGCUGUAACCAGCUCAGUAAAGACCUUUUGAUGAUUCCUUUCUCUUUCUUGUCCCAUGUUACCCAUGCCCCUACAGGUGCUUCCUGGGAUCACCAAACCCCUGUCUCAGAUUGUGCUUUUGGGGGAGUUCACUGGAUGACAGUUCUUUAUGGAUGAGUUUGUUCAGAUACAGGGUUAGCUGAGCAUGAUUUUGGUAUGAUUAUUUCAAUGAAUCAAUACUCUGAGAAGAGCAUCCCAGAUGAAUCAUGGGGAGAUAUAAGGCAGAGCCCUGAAGCUGAACAAAUCGGUGGAUUCCAUCUUCUUGGCCCCUCUAUUCUGGAGUGAGAAAUCAGACUGAAUCUCAAGACUCCUGUGAUCAAGUCUAGAACAAAGGCUGAUUCUCUCCCUUUGGAGCAUAUGAUGAGCCAUUUUUGUCAGGAUGAAGGAAGCUGUUUUCAACAUAAAGCUGAUUCACAAAUGAGAGGAAAACUAAGCUGUUCCAUUGAGGGCACUACUCCUGUGGAACCGAAUACUGUCCUAUACAAUGAAAACUGGAAGGUCUUCUCCCUUGCAUUUCCUUUCGGACUGCAGUUUAAGAAACUUCCUCAUUAUUCCAUCACACCUGUACAUAAAGUGGUCAUUAUCUCCAUCCUGCUCCUUCUCCUGCAUAAAUCGAUGCUGAUUGAAGUCUGGGUCCAAGGCGAGUUAUAUAAACCUUGGUUGGAAUAAGAAAGAAGAAACCUUCAACCAAAUAAAUUCUCAAAUGAGGUUUUAUUCUUCCCA
ensembl:lncRNA